AGGGAUGUAGCUUGCUGGUAGAGCAUCUGCUUAGCAUGCAGAUCAUCCGGGGUUAGAUCCCCAGCACUGUUA
rnacentral:tRNA from 1 species